CACAUGGAAGCACUCAAUAAUGACUGGCCAUUGUUAUUAUCAUUUAUAUUAAUAUUCCGAUUAAGUGGUUGAGCAUCAGAAAAAUCAAGUCACAUUCUUAAAGUGCACCAGUUAGUUUCAGACCCAGUUGAAUGUGACUUUAGUGCCUGUGCUUUUAAUCACAUCCCAUAAGCAGACAGAAGACCUGUUUUCUAACUGCAACAUUAACUGACUCUUUUUUAAGUUACUUAAACUCUCUGAUUUUGUUUGGGUUCCCUUCUAAAGCAGAUUCCAUGACAAGGGCUUGAUGAAUAGUCCCCAGGGAAUGUGAUUUUUCUUGAAGUAUAUAUUAACGAUUUAUUAACUACUGUAGCCAAAUCUGAUAAAGCAGGAUAAGCACAGCAGAUUGGGAAGAGUGGAACAGGGAAGAAAGGAAGUGAAUCCAAGGAUGCAAUUUUAAGAAGGUGGCUGCGUGCAGCUGGGGCUCAAUGCUAGCAGGGCCCCACUGGAGUUAUACAGAAUGUGCCUCAGAAUCGUCCACCAGGGACAGGGAAAGGUGAGUGUUUAUUUCCCAGUUCCUAUCCUAUGUUAAUCAAGGGUUGCUCCAGGGGUGUUAAUUUCCUUGUACUUACAGAUUUGCAUGUGACCCAUCACAGCCCAGAAUCUCAGUGGACAGAGAAGCUUGGGCCAGAAAGCAAGUGACGGGCAGUACAGCAGAGGUGUGUCAUUUUGUCAAAGGUUAUAUCUGCGGCACAGCUGGUUGCCACAGCCAUUUGAGCAAAGCCGUGCACCAAGGGGUUAUAAAGGUGUUUAGCACCCUCUGCCUACUGGAAUACACAUAUUGAUUACAUGAGAUAUUUGCUUCACGUUUGCAUAGGUAAAUUUUCUCUCAUUCACACUCAGUUAUUGAGGUGAUUCAAUGAGAUGUGUGUAAAAGUGCUCUGAAAAAUAUGUCAUGUAGACUAUUACGCUACACAUGUGAUAUUGAGAUCUCCAAAGCUGAAGGUCAAACAGUGUUUGAACAAUUUUUUUAACCCAUUAGUCUAUAGGUACUUUUGAACUCAACGCCUCUCUCAUUUCAUGUAAGUAAUAAACCUUUCAUACCUUCUUGUUGUGUGUCAUCAGUCUUGACGUUCCAACCAGAUUUUGGGUGGGGGGUUUAUUCUGUUUCUUCAGAGUGGUUACAACACAGAGAAAUCUGGAUUUCAGCUGAAAAAAAUCACCUCAAGACCGCAACAGGGCAUACUUCACUGAAUUCCAAACUGAUUGUUGAUGUGAUCCUUUGGAUUGGAAAAGUCCAAACAGUUCUUCUGCCCCAUCCCUGGUCAUUUGGCUACUGGCUGUCUUGGAUGCUGGACCCUAAUAUUCUAAGAUACUGACUUUUCGGAACGAUCCACUGGGAACAAUAUGGAGAUUGAAAUCAUGGAAAUUGAGAUCAUGGAAAGAGAGUGACAAACAGCUUCCGUUGCUCCACCCCACUGCAGCCCUCCCUCCCUGAGCAAGAAGGAUUUUUCUUGUAUGCAAACCAAAUCCCAGGUCAGAAAUCAUUUCCUUAAGAAGUCUUCUGGAUCUCCAGUUGAUAUGAGCUCUCAGAGAACCAGAACUUUCUCCUUUGGAUCACUUAUGCGG